CAAGUAAUUAAGUGCAUGUGGUGGAUGCCUUGGCAGUCAGAGGCGAUGAAAGACGUGAUAGCCUGCGAAAAGCUCCGGGGAGGCGGCAAAUAUCCUUUGAUCCGGAGAUGUCUGAAUGGGGGAACCCACCUACUUUAAGGUAGGUAUUGCAACAUGAAUACAUAGUGUUGCAAGGCGAACGAGGGGAAGUGAAACAUCUCAGUACCCUUAGGAAAAGAAAUCAAUUGAGAUUCCCUCAGUAGCGGCGAGCGAACGGGGAUCAGCCCAUUAAGUUAUGUGUGUUUUAGUGGAACGCUCUGGGAAGUGCGAACGUAGAGGGUGAUAUUCCCGUACACGAAAGGGCACACAUAAUGAUGACGAGUAGGGCGAGGCACGUGAAACCUUGUCUGAAUAUGGGGGGACCAUCCUCCAAGGCUAAAUACUCCUGACUGACCGAUAGUGAACCAGUACCGUGAGGGAAAGGCGAAAAGAACCCCUGUGAGGGGAGUGAAAUAGAUCCUGAAACCGCAUGCAUACAAGCAGUGGGAGCACCUUCGUGGUGUGACUGCGUACCUUUUGUAUAAUGGGUCAGCGACUUAUAUUCAGUAGCGAGGUUAACCGUAUAGGGGAGCCGUAGAGAAAUCGAGUCUUAAUAGGGCGUUUAGUUGCUGGGUAUAGACCCGAAACCAGGCGAUCUAUCCAUGAGCAGGUUGAAGGUUGGGUAACACUAACUGGAGGACCGAACCCACUGUCGUUGAAAAGCCAGGGGAUGACUUGUGGAUAGGGGUGAAAGGCUAAUCAAGCCUGGUGAUAGCUGGUUCUCCCCGAAAGCUAUUUAGGUAGCGCCUCGGACGAAUACCAUAGGGGGUAGAGCACUGUUUCGGCUAGGGGGUCAUCCCGACUUACCAAACCGAUGCAAACUCCGAAUACCUAUGAGUACUAUCCGGGAGACAGACUGCGGGUGCUAACGUCCGUAGUCAAGAGGAAAACAAUCCAGACCGCCAGCUAAGGCCCCAAAAUCAUAGUUAAGUGGGAAACGAUGUGGGAAGGCAUAGACAGCUAGGAGGUUGGCUUAGAAGCAGCCACCCUUUAAAGAAAGCGUAAUAGCUCACUAGUCGAGUCGGCCUGCGCGGAAGAUGUAACGGGGCUAAAACUAUGUGCCGAAGCUGCGGAUGUAUACUUUGUAUACGUGGUAGGGGAGCGUUCUGUAAGCCGAUGAAGGUGUGUUGAGAAGCAUGCUGGAGGUAUCAGAAGUGCGAAUGCUGACGUGAGUAACGACAAAACGGGUGAAAAACCCGUUCGCCGAAAGACCAAGGGUUCCAGUCCAACGUUAAUCGGGGCUGGGUGAGUCGACCCCUAAGGCGAGGCCGAAAGGCGUAGUCGAUGGGAAAAUGGUUAAUAUUCCAUUACUUCUGUGUAAUGCGAUGAGAGGACGGAGAAGGCUAAAUCAGCCUGGCGUUGGUUGUCCAGGUGAAAGGAUGUAGGCAUGUAUCUUAGGCAAAUCCGGGGUACUCUAUGCUGAGAUCUGAUAGCAAGCUGUACUUGUACAGCGAAGUGGUUGAUGCCAUGCUUCCAGGAAAAGUCUCUAAGCUUCAGUUACACAGGAAUCGUACCCGAAACCGACACAGGUGGUCAGGUCGAGUAGACCAAGGCGCUUGAGAGAACUCUGCUGAAGGAACUAGGCAAAAUGGUACCGUAACUUCGGGAGAAGGUACGCUGUUGUUGGUGAUGGAACUCGCUUCCUGAGCUGACGACAGCCGCAGAAACCAGGCCGCUGCAACUGUUUAUUAAAAACAUAGCACUCUGCAAACACGAAAGUGGACGUAUAGGGUGUGAUGCCUGCCCGGUGCUGGAAGGUUAAUUGAUGGGGUUAGCGUAAGCGAAGCUCUUGAUCGAAGCCCCAGUAAACGGCGGCCGUAACUAUAACGGUCCUAAGGUAGCGAAAUUCCUUGUCGGGUAAGUUCCGACCUGCACGAAUGGCAUAAUGAUGGCGGCGCUGUCUCCAGCAGAGGCUCAGUGAAAUCGAAAUCGCUGUGAAGAUGCAGUGUACCCGCGGCUAGACGGAAAGACCCCGUGAACCUUUACUGCAGCUUGACACUGAACUUUGACCUUACUUGUGUAGGAUAGGUGGGAGGCUUUGAAGCUGGAACGCUAGUUCCAGUGGAGCCGUCCUUGAAAUACCACCCUGGUAAUGUUGAGGUUCUAACUCUGUCCCGUGAUCCGGGACGAGGACCGUGUCUGGUGGGUAGUUUGACUGGGGCGGUCUCCUCCUAAAGAGUAACGGAGGAGUACGAAGGUGCGCUCAGCGUGGUCGGAAAUCACGCGUAGAGUAUAAAGGCAAAAGCGCGCUUAACUGCGAGACCCACAAGUCGAGCAGGUACGAAAGUAGGUCUUAGUGAUCCGGUGGUUCUGUAUGGAAGGGCCAUCGCUCAACGGAUAAAAGGUACUCUGGGGAUAACAGGCUGAUACCGCCCAAGAGUUCAUAUCGACGGCGGUGUUUGGCACCUCGAUGUCGGCUCAUCUCAUCCUGGGGCUGAAGCAGGUCCCAAGGGUAUGGCUGUUCGCCAUUUAAAGAGGUACGCGAGCUGGGUUUAGAACGUCGUGAGACAGUUCGGUCCCUAUCUACCGUGGGCGCUGGAAAUUUGAGAGGAUCUGCUCCUAGUACGAGAGGACCAGAGUGGACGAAGCUCUGGUGUACCGGUUGUGACGCCAGUCGCAUCGCCGGGUAGCUAUGUUCGGAAGGGAUAACCGCUGAAAGCAUCUAAGCGGGAAGCCUACCUCAAGAUAAGAUUUCCCUAGGACUUUAUGUCCUAUAAAGAGCCGUUCGAGACUAGGACGUUGAUAGGUUGGAUGUGGAAGCAUAGUGAUAUGUGAAGCUGACCAAUACUAAUUGCUCGUGAGGCUUGACUA
rnacentral:rRNA from 1 species